AGGGAGCUUGACUGCGAGACCUACAAGUCGAGCAGGGUCGAAAGACGGACUUAGUGAUCCGGUGGUUCCGCAUGGAAGGGCCAUCGCUCAACGGAUAAAAGCUACCCCGGGGAUAACAGGCUUAUCUCCCCCAAGAGUUCACAUCGACGGGGAGGUUUGGCACCUCGAUGUCGGCUCAUCGCAUCCUGGGGCUGUAGUCGGUCCCAAGGGUUGGGCUGUUCGCCCAUUAAAGCGGUACGCGAGCUGGGUUCAGAACGUCGUGAGACAGUUCGGUCCCUAUCCGUCGUGGGCGUAGGAAAUUUGAGAGGAGCUGUCCUUAGUACGAGAGGACCGGGAUGGACAUACCUCUGGUGUACCAGUUGUCGUGCCAACGGCAUAGCUGGGUAGCUAUGUGUGGACGGGAUAAGUGCUGAAAGCAUCUAAGCAUGAAGCCCCCCUCAAGAUGAGAUUUCCCAACUUCGGUUAUAAGAUCCCUCAAAGAUGAUGAGGUUAAUAGGUUCGAGGUGGAAGCAUGGUGACAUGUGGAGCUGACGAAUACUAAUCGAUCGAAGACUUAAUCAA
rnacentral:rRNA from 5 species